rnacentral:RNase_P_RNA from 2 species
GAAGCCCGCCAGGCCGUCGCUGGUGCAAUCUGAGAAGACGACGCUUGCGUCGGGCCGAAAGGCCGCACUGGAGGAACGUCCGGACUGCACAGGGCAGCGUAGGAGCUAACGGCUCUCCACCGCGAGGUGAGGAUCAGAGCAACAGAGACGAGUCGGUGCCAGGGCAACCUGGCAUCGGGUGAAACGGGCAAUCUCUACGCGCAGCAAUACCAAAUAGGCCAGCGUUGAUGUGGCUCCGCGGAGCUGGCGGGUAGGUAGCACCGAGCCGCUUGGUGACAAGCGGCCCAGAGGAAUGGCGGUCACACCGGGGGCGACCCCGGUGCACAGAAUCCGGCGUAUCGGCGGGCUUCACAC